ensembl:lncRNA
NCCCUNAACUUAAUAACUUGCUAAAAAGAAAAAAAGAAAUGUUUAAAAAAUGGAAAGAGGGGGACAUAUCAAAAGAAGAAUAUAAUGCAAUCUGCAGGAACUGCAGGAUAAGUGUCAGAAAGGCUAAAGCUAAAAAUGAAUUGAGGAUUGCAAGAGAGGCCAAAAACAAUAAAAAAGGCUUUUGGGGGUAUGUCAGAAGCAAAAGAAAAGUCAAAGAAGCUAUAGGACCUUUACAAAAUGGGAAGGGUGAUUUGGUCAAAAACGAUAUUCAGAAGGCAGAACUUCUGAACUCCUAUUUUGCAUCUGUUUUCUCUCAGAAAGGAAAGGAAACAUCAGUUGGCCUUCACUGUGCUGUUGAGGUAAUAAGAGAAUCAAGGCUCUGUAUGGACAAGGAGAAGGUGAGGGAACACUUAGCAAACUUAAAUGUAUUCAAGUCUCCAGGCCCAGAUGAAUUACAUCCUAGGGUGCUGAAGGAAUUAGCUGAUAGAAUUGCUGAACCACUCUCCGUGAUAUUUGAGAACUCAUGGAUAACAGGAGAAGUCCCAGAAGAUUGGAGAAGGGCAAAUGUUGUACCUAUCUUUAAAAAAGGAAAGAAGGCUGACCCAGGCAACUACAGGCCUGUGAGCCUGACUUCAAUACCAGGCAAGAUAUUUGAACAAAUCAUUAAACAGCACAUAUGGGAGCACUUGGAUGGGAAUGCAGUAAUUAACCAAAGCCAACAUGGAUUUGUAACAAGCAAGUCAUGCCAGACUAAUCUUAUUUCCUUUUAUGACAAAAUUACUGGAUGGAUCGAUCAAGGAAAGGCUGUGGACAUAGUAUAUCUUGACUUUAGCAAAGCAUUUGACAAGGUGUCUCAUACUAUACUUAUUGAAAAAAAUGAUCAAAUAUGGGAUUGACAGGACAACUGUUAGGUGGAUUCAUAACUGGCUUAGUGAUCGUACUCAAAGAGUGGUCAUAAAUGGCUUCACAUCCGAUUGGAAGACUGUCUCGAGUGGGGUACCGCAAGGCUCG